UAGGGAAUAUUGGACAAUGGGCGAGAGCCUGAUCCAGCCAUGCCGCGUGCAGGAAGAAGGCCUUCUGGGUUGUAAACUGCUUUUGCCAGGGGAUAAAAGACCCGUGCGCGGGGAAUUGAAGGUACCUGGUGAAUAAGCCACGGCUAACUACGUGCCAGCAGCCGCGGUAAUACGUAGGUGGCAAGCGUUGUCCGGAUUUAUUGGGUUUAAAGGGUGCGUAGGCGGUUCUAUAAGUCAGUGGUGAAAUACGGCAGCUCAACUGUCGAGGUGCCAUUGAUACUGUAGAACUUGAGUACAGACGAGGUAGGCGGAAUUGACGGUGUAGCGGUGAAAUGCUUAGAUAUCGUCAAGAACACCGAUAGCGAAGGCAGCUUACUAGACUGUAACUGACGCUGAGGCACGAAAGUGUGGGGAUCAAACAGGAUUAGAUACCCCCGUAGUCC
rnacentral:rRNA from 1 species